UACGGAGGGGGCUAGCGUUGUUCGGAAUUAUUGGGCGUAAAGGGCGCGUAGGCGGCUUUGCAAGUGGCGGGUGAAAUCCCUCGGCUUAACCGAGGAACUGCCUGCCAGACUGUGAGGCUUGAGACCGGGAGAGGUGAGUGGAAUUCCCAGUGUAGCGGUGAAAUGCGUAGAUAUUGGGAGGAACACCAGUGGCGAAGGCGGCUCACUGGACCGGAACUGACGCUGAGGCGCGAAAGCGUGGGGAGCAAACAGG
rnacentral:rRNA from 1 species